UUGGAUAUGCCAGAGGAGGCUUUACCCCCAGUCUGGGGGAUUCCAAGGUCUGUGUUCUUUCUAGGUCGGGAAACCUGGCUGUGAGCGCCAUGGUGGUCGGGUUCCCGCGCCCAUCUGCCUUUCUGGGGCCUUGUGAAAGCCUCUGUCCCCCACGUGAUGUUUGUGUAGUCUUUUUUUUUUUCCUGUUUGCAAUCUCCGUCUCUCCGCCCUCCCCCCUUCACCCUCUCCCUGUUUUUAACCGGAGAACCUCCCUGCGUGAAUGCUCCACCUCUGCCCUCAGCUGGCCCCAGCUUCCAGGCCUUCCUCUCUGGCGUUGGGGAGGAGCGGGAGGAGCUGAGCCUUCGGCAGCUUGGGGGCUGGAAGGAACCUGAGAAAUUAAAUCCAAGUUCUCCGCUCACAGAGGAGGACAGAGUUGCUGAGAACAGUGGGGAUCUGACCGAGGUGACCUGGCCUGUCUGAGGUAGGUUUGGGGCUGGAGCCUGGGCCUCCUGUUGCUUAGCCCUUAAUGUGACUUCAAAUCUGCCUUCCUUUGCUUCAUUGCUUAACACAAGGUUACCU
rnacentral:lncRNA from 1 species